UAAUUGCCAUAACUUCUCUUAGCCAUGUCUAGGAUAAAUCAAUUGAUCACUCAGUUUUGUCUUGCUACCACCAGAAAGAAGUGCUAAAAGUGUUCAUCUUAAUUCAAUGGUUUCACUCUUGACCCAUCUCUUGGUGACUUUAUCCUGAUUCACACAUUAAGUGAUAUUCUUGUGGCUGCAUAUACAAAGUACUCUUUGAUUUUCAGUCUCUCUCUGCAAUCUACCUACAAAUCUACAAUCUGAAGAGGACUGUCUGCCUCUGUCCAACUCCAUGCAAUGCUAUCCUUCAACUCCCUUUCAUAGAGCAUCUCCACCAAGUGGCACCACUUUUCCUAGAACAUGUAUUUCACUUCAAUGUUUCACUGAAUGUCAGGAGGUGCUACAUAGUAAGCGGAAUCAACAUUUUACAAUUGACACCCUUGAUGGGGCUUGAUCAAUUCUUUUGGCUGAAACAAUUAUUUUUCUAUGGUGCCAACCUUUUAUACUCUUGAUGAAUGACAUGACUUUGAGAAAAAGAGAUAAUAGUGAGGUUUGGAUUUGA